rnacentral:rRNA from 1 species
UACGUAGGGUGCAAGCGUUGUCCGGAAUUAUUGGGCGUAAAGAGCUCGUAGGCGGUUUGUUGCGUCGGCUGUGAAAUCCCGAGGCUCAACCUCGGGUCUGCAGUCGAUACGAGCAAACUAGAGUGUUGCAGGGGAGACUGGAAUUCCUGGUGUAGCGGUGAAAUGCGCAGAUAUCACCUGGAACUCCGGUGGCGAAGGCGGCACGCUGGACCUUUUCUGACGCUGAGGCGCGAAAGCCAGGGGAGCAAACGGG